AAGGUGUCCAUCACACACUGACCCCUCCGCUUUCCCUCCCCCAGGAGGGGCCCCCAAAGCCCCAUUAAGGAAGGUUUCCAGGGGCCAACAGGUGGGGUGGUUAAGGCACUGGAUUCCCACGGGACGACUGCAGUUUGUACCCCAUCUGUUAUGCUGGGUGCACGUGUGCACCCAAAAUCCUGAAAGGAGAAUGGGGGCAAAGGGAUUGCAGCAUGGCCAUCCCCCUGGGAGGUGAUUUCUCUUUCCCUCGGUCCCUGUCCCUCUCCAGUGAGCACACAUGUCCUAUGGCAACAACCAAAAAAAGGUGGGGGGAGAUUUUGAAAGCACACCCACGUCUCCAGAGCGGCUCUCUGUCCUGGGAGGCUGUCCCCAGACAGGCAACUGCGAGGACUUACGCCCGGGACCCAAGGCCACUAAGACUAGAUUCCCGAGCUGGCCCGUGCGAGUAAGUACGCCAAUGCCACGAGGUGGUUCAGACUCACGAGUGUUUAUUGAGUGCACACGUGCCAGGGCGACGGAGACACGGUCCCUGCUCUCCUGGAGCUUACAACCUCGUUACUCCAAUAUUUGACUACAUUUUUAGAAUGACAAACACUUGUCUUCGUCUAACCAUCAGCAACGCUACAUGAAGCAAAUUUUUCAUAUUAUUGGUCACUGUUACAGUGAAAUUGGUAAAUGUGAGUAAAACACAAUUAUCUUUGAAAUCUGUAGGCUUAGUACGGACACGGUAUGUAACACCCAGCAGAUGCAAACGUAUGGCUCUAUUCCUGAAUCUGAGGGCUCUGUGGAAAUACAGCACAGACCCCACAGAAGCACGAGCAGCACAGGGCCCGGGAGUCCUGCGGUUCAGUACGGUACCGAAUAGGCAGGGCGGGGAGUCACCUUCCAGAGAACGUGCGGUACAGUCGCUUGGCUCAGACCUGCGGAUCCUACCACCAACACGUCCCCUGUGGAAGGUAACCGAGAUUUACCCCGGGCCUCCCCAAGGGCACUGGGUGUGUGUCUAUUUCUUAAAGCUUCUUAAAGACUCAGCAUAAGCGGCUCACUAAAAUUGAGCGGAAACUGCUUUUGAGACGUCUAAAAAUGAAAACGACAGACACACCUAACGUUAGGAUACAGGAGAGCUCAGAACUAAAAUAGCACUCAGCAAAGCACGGCGGCUCUCGGCUAACGAGGGGAACGUUUACUGGUUGCUCCGGGCCCCAAAUCGUGCAUCUUUGCAAGCCCAGGGGCAGCACCUUGCGGUGCUCGGUGCUCUCGGGGAGCAUUCAGGGGAGCGAUUGCUGUGACCCCACUGCCAGUAACUCUGAGGGAAAUGGCCUCUACAUCAAAGCGCCCCAGGUCUCCACGCUCAUUAACAUCACAGUGCUUCCUGAAUUUACACGGGACAGGUUACCAGUUUUUAACUUAGUCAUUAAAAAUAUGGGAUGAAUUCCCUCUGGGAACUCACUUAAAACUCCAAGAGAGCUUUUUUAACUUUUUAUUUUGCAAAGAGUGGAGGGAACACUCGAGUGGAGGUCUGUCACCCGGCUGUGCCCAGGGCCAGGGGGCCCAGUAGCCACGUCUGCUAUUGCUUCAGCUAGCAAGGUCCUCCAAUCGUUAAGGACAUGUCCCCACCUAGGGCGCGGUCCUUGCAAGGAGCCUUCAGGACAGAAAACAAGGGAGCAGGGCCAGGCAUUGACAGGGAAUCUGCUUUCAUGCAUUUCAAAAGGCAGUUCCCAGAAGUGGAAGAUUCACUUCAGAUUUUACUUCUUUAGCCAGCAACAAAAGAAAAAAGCUUACCUCUUUGAGAUGACAGCUCCUGCAAUAUUUAAGUCUGCCAUCUUUCCUACUCUCCAGUUAUUUUUUUUUUUUUAGUUGAGUGUUUUCAAGAUAAGCCUUUCCAAAGGGAAGGACAAUUCAAAGAAUUUUCUUGGCUUCCCUCUUCACAGCUAUAAAGGAAAAAGGUGACAUUUCUUUCUUCCUUAUUGAGUGACUGACAGUUCCAACUCAUUACAUACUUCAAAAACCAAAGCAUACCCUUCUGCGGGGCAGAGACAUUCUGAUGGAGCUUAAUGCCUUUUGGAAUAAGCUAAUGUAGGGUACUAAAAAGUUAACUCCUUGCCAAGAUAAAACUACCAUCUUUUGAAGUGGCAAUUUCCUUAUUCUUAAGAAUAUAGUAGGCUUGGGGCCAGCAGGUGGCAUGGUUAAGGCGCUGGACACUCCCACAGGGUCGACCAUGGUUUGAGUCCCAGACCUGGUGGCUUGCUUUCUCACUUUCCCUCUCUCCCUGUGUCUCUUUCUGGUCAAAUUAAAAUAAAUGGAUAAAUAAAUUUUAAAAAAGAAUACAGUAGGCUUUAUAAUAAAAAUAGGGACCAAAGAAAUAUUCUAACCGUGUUCAAGUUGGUAUACUUUGUUUUUAGGAAGCAGAGAAGGGAGGUCCCUCCAGUGGGGCAGCCACACUGCCCUCCACUCUCCUCUGCCCCUUCCUGCAUCCUGAAGGGGCUAGGGCACCCCCACGUAGGGCCUGCCUCCCUUAACCAGCAGGCUCCCAGGCGGCCCUCAGUCAGCCCCACUGUCAUAGCAGGGGCACUCUGAAGAGGAGGGGCGAUCAGCACGGUCAGUCCCCUCACCGGGCCUGCCACGAAGCUGCACUGAGAGGCAGAUACACUUUUCCGUUAGGAGAUUUAAGGGGGAAAGAGGCUAGGAAAACUACCAAGGAUAAAGGCACUUGAUUCUGUUGGUAAUUUUAGUCACCUGGUUGCAGGAGUUGGGAGCAGAUGCCAGCCAGCCCCUCUAUUCAGAGGGCUCCCGGGCUGAGAGGCCCCCAGGCUGAGGGCAGGGCCUUGGCCAGCCCUGGAGAUAACUGGGGCCAAGUCAGGUGAACGGAGCUCACAGGCCGGCUUGGCUCACUAGAACAAUUUAUCAGUGGGAGCCGUGUAGGAGAAAAAGCUCUAAAGCAAACCAAAACGUGAGACCUGAGCGUUUGCAGUGAGAGCCAACUUUGGAAGAGUCCUUUAGCUGCGAGGACUGAGUGUGACCACCUGGGCACUGGGUCCUGCCAGCACCAGACAGUGGGUGGGGGGAGCAGCAGCAGCCGGGCAGCGUGGGCGGUCCCAACAGGAACCUGCAAGCACCCCGGACCAGAGCAGUGCCCGCUGGCCAGGCCCAGGAAAAGGCGCUGUCGGACAUGUCCCCGGCCCGUGACAGAGCCGACCGCUCUCACUUAAAACCUAGUGCUCCGACAGCACCGACAGGGGUGGAGGGGCGAGGACCCGGACUCACAGCUGAAACCAUGCACUAGCUUAGGACACCUGUGCUACUCUCCUGAGGCCUUCCUGGGCGGGGCAGCCAGCAGUUCCUCCAAGCGUUAUCUGCAGCUUACUGCCCAGGGCCGGCCAGGAGUGCUGCUCAGAAAAGGGCGGAGCGCGACGGCUGGCAGUGGCACACAGGGACGAAAUCAGAGUCCCGUCCCGCCCAUCUUUCUUCUUUCCCGAUGAAGCUUAAGGGAAGCAAAGUGAGUUGUAUCCAUGUAGUUUUCAGAGCUUCCCGACAGCCCUCCCUACGAUCCUGACGUGCACCCUCCGAGCGCUUCUGCCAGGACCUGUAGCCAGGGUCUCGCAAGCCUCUGCCCUGAGCCCCCAGCCCUGCGGUGACAGCUUCUGUACUCGGCGUGCAUUACUCUACCGUGGAAGCUGCUGCCGAUCUUCCAAGGCUUCCUGGGUGAAAAGAACGGAAAAGGCCAGGUUAGAGAAGUCUACAUCAAGCUCCGCAGGUCUGUAACUACCACCAAGCUGACCUCUUAGCGAAAGAGCGAGUGUCUGAAGGUCAAACCAGCCUUCACCUGAAAGCCAGCAUGCAGCUCUACAGCACUCAGUCACCAAACACUCCUGCAAAGGCCUCGGGCCUCGACUGCGGCCAGUGAGCCUGGGACUGCGCCCC